rnacentral:rRNA from 1 species
GAUGAACGCUGGCGGCGUGCCUAAUACAUGCAAGUCGAGCGAACGGACGAGACGCUUGCUUCUCUGAUGUUAGCGGCGGACGGGUGAGUAACACGUGGAUAACCUACCUAUAAGACUGGGAUAACUUCGGGAAACCGGCGCUAAUCCCGGAUAAUAUUUUGAACCGCAUGGUUCAAAAGUGAAAGACGGUCUUGCUGUCACUUAUAGAUGGAUCCGCGCUGCAUUAGCUAGUUGGUACGGUAACGGGUUACCAAGGCAACGAGGCAUAGCCGACCUGAGAGGGGGAUCGGCCACACGGGAACGGGGACAGGGUCCAGGCUCCUACGGGAGGCAGCAGUAGGCAACCUUCGGCAAUGGGCGGAAGCCUGACGGAGCAACGCGGCGUGAGUGAUGAAGGUCUUCGGAGCGGAAAACUCGGUUAUGAGGGGAGAACAGAUGUGUAAGGAACUGUGCACAUCUUGACGGUACCUAAUCAGAAAGCAACGGCUAACUACGUG